GCUAGUCGCUAACUGUGUCUGUUUGCUGUUUGGUGCUGGGCAGGCAGUGUACAGUGGGUUUUAAGAGCAUUUCUACUGAAAACAGCUGCGUGCUGCAACCGAAAACGACGCUGUGAGAGUGAACCAAAACAGUAAAGUUGUGGGCCAGACAGCUAAACAUUGAGCUGAAACUCACAAUAAAAAUGCAGAUUUAGGUGAUAAUAGUCUGUAGGUAUUUGUCCUAUUCAAGUGUCCCAGUAAGCCGUGACAGCGAGCCAACAUGGCCAACAAUGCCAGGACCCUGAAACUGAAGCAGCUAAAUGGAAUUCAGCCAUCAUUCAUCUGUGCUAUUCCUGCUGUGACAUGUCAAAAUGUGAAAACAGCAUAUUCAUAGCUAUUUGCAUCCACUAGCAUCUUAGCGUGAACUUUAUAUGCAAUCGUGCCGCCUCUAACAUUUGCUCUAUAUUCUACCAGCUAUAUUUGUGUAUAAUCACCCACCUUUUUUGAUAUACACUUUUAGCUAGUCAUUCAAUGUGAAAAUAUUAGGAACUACUCCUUACUUUUGAAUUGGAUCAGUCCCCCUUUAACCCAUAUAAUUAUCUCUUUUCCAUCCCCUGACUGGGGUGAACACAGCACAUCACAGCUUUUGCCUGAAUUCACCUGCUCAGCCUGUUACAGGAAAUGGCAAGUUGUACUAAUGUGUGUGUGUGUUUUCUUUUAGCUCUGCAGUACCUUAUAUUAAAUAUUGCAACGAUGCACAAUGUAGGUCAAGAAAAUGAGACCUUAUAACAUUGGUUGGGACUGCUGGGGUGUUAACCUUCUCUUCUUUGUCUGAUAUGGGAGGCAAAGCAGGGUGAUGCUGGCCAGCCUGGCACUUAGAGAUAAUGUCCUUGCCGCCACCCCUCAGUUUGUGCCCCUCUUGCUACCAGAUUCACACCCACUUGCACACAGAAAUACCAGUCGCUCUAGUUCAUCAGUCACGUACAGACUAAACCUGCACGUCCCAUGUGAGGAGUGAACAUGCUGGAAGGUUCUUGGUCCUAAUGCAGCUUUAGCUUGCUGAUAACAAGGAUACAGGUUUUUUUUGUUUGUUUUUUUUAAAAUGCAGAGGUUUAGCAAGUUGUGAGGUUUACUAUACAAAAACAAAAUCAGUGUAUGGUGAAAUGGUGAAAAACAUUUAAAAAGUUACUGCAGAUCCAGCAGCUGCCCCGACAGCUCCGCCAAUCACACCAGCCAAAAACACGCCAAGCACCAGACCCAGCAAUGCGCCCCCUAUGACUACCUUGGGCACCUGUUUAGCAGUAGUCCCAAUUUUCUCCCAUACUGAGCUCUCAGCCACCAUUUUGGCCCCUGCUUUGGCCCCAGAGCCCACCUUCCCCCACAUUGGACUCUGUACCACCUUCUUUGCACCAGCACCAAUUCCAGCUCCAACUUGCACAGAUCUGUCAGCCACCAGUUUAGCUCCAGUUUUGGCCCCAGAUCCAACUUGGCCCCACAUAGGACUCUGCGCCAAAUUCUUUGCUCUGGCUCCAAUUCCAGCUCCGACAUGCAUGGAACUGUCUGCCAUUAGUUUGGCCCCUGAACCAACUUUUUCCCACAUGGGACUUGCUGCUGCUGCCUUUGCUCCAGAUCCCACCCAAGCAGAACCAUCCACCACUACCUUGGGAACUCGGUCUCCUAUUAGUUUGGACAUAUGUCCAGCACUAGCUCCCACCUUCUCCCACAACGAACUAUCAAUCACCAUCUUCUGGACAUUUUGUGCUCCACUGCCGAUUGUCCCCCACACUGGACUACUUUUCACCUUCUUUGCUCCCUCACCGACCCACACAGAGCUAUCUGCCAACAGCUUGGGUAAUGUCUUCGCACUAGACUCCAUUUUAUCCAUAAUGGAACAGAGAAGUGAAGGGGAUAUGGUGGAAAGUGUAACAGGAGGAAGGCUCUCGAUAUUCAUGGUGCUCACACUCAUCUCUGCCUCAGCUCUUGUUUUCUCAAUCUCAUCCUCUCUCACUUCCUCCUCUGCCUCAGCCACAGGCUGCAUGUAGGGAUAAAGUACCCGCCUUUCAGAGUUGAGCUGUCUAAUGUCUCCUAGUCCUUCUUCCUCUAGUUUUUUCCCCUGUCUCUCCCUUGCUAUCUCUACCUGUCUCUGCCUCACUCUGUUCUCUGCCUCCUGAAAAGCAGGACAAGAAUAACACUGUCCUCCAGCUUCCUUCACUGUCUGCUCCACCUUCUCCAGCAGCUCCACCACAUUCCCCCUCUCUCUCCCACCUCCUCCUGUCUCCAUCACAUGAAACCUGUCCCCACAUUUCUCCACGAGCUUUAACAGAUCCCCCCGCCGACCAGCAAUGUAUGCCUCCACGCUGUUGUUUCCUGCCUUCCCGCUCUCCCUCAGUCGAUCUGCGUAAGUAAAGAGGACCAGAGUGUGUCUCUGGACUGCCUCUGGGCCAAAAACAGACUCGAGGGCCCCGAGAGCCUGCAGCUCAGUCUUUGCAGGCUGGUCUAAAGGGACGCACAGGAGGAAGGCGUGAGGACCGGGACUCGACAAAGCAACACAGGAGGAGAUCUGAGCUCGCACCUCAUCUGGAGUUUGCUCUGAAUUGAACCAGUCUGGAGUAUCCACCACCGCCACCUGCAGCGCUUUCUUUUUCUCACACUGCUGAGUGAUCGCUGUGAGGCUUUCCGGGCGUGACUCAAACUCCUUCUGCCCCAGUAUGUUGUUGCCAGCUGCACUCUUCCCCGCUCCAGAUCGCCCGAGCAGCACCAGACGCAGC